rnacentral:lncRNA from 1 species
CAGCCGCAGAUAUAGAGGAGACACCCCCCCCUAAUUUCUCAUAUCCUUCGAACCACCCCACCCCCGAAUGACCUGAGCCUCUUCUUCUUUAUUGAACCUGAACGCCAACAGCAACACACCUCUCACUAGACCCAUCGACGAGCCUUCCCGCCUCGUUGGACACCGGCGACCACCCUAGAAUGAGGACCCCAAGAUCUUCUUCUCCAUUUUUAAGCUACAGAACUUGGACCUCUCCAUCUUCAAGCAAUAGAUCUUUCAGCAGCAAAGAACAAAAAUAGAACCCACGAUCCCCUCACUCAAACGUGUCUGGCAACACACAGACACACGCACGCAUAAAAGUUUAGGAUUCCUUUGAAAAAAUCAGAUUUGGAAUUCAAAGCUACAAAGAAAAACCGCACAACUCCGGAAGAUCUGAAAACGAGGAAAAGGUUUCUGAAAAUCUGGAUUUCCAAAGGGAUUCUUGAGGUCGAGAUUUGUUGCCUUGUUGGUUUUUUCGGUCCCGUAUGAUUUCAGUCGAUGUUUUCGGUUCAAGGUCAGAUUAGUUCUCUCGAUGAAUUGAAUUAUUACGAUGUUGCAUCUUAUGCACUUUCUGUUCUUUUCUUUAAAGUUAGAUUCAAUAAAAUAUGAUUUUAAGUUGUGUUCUUGUCUGGUAAUUGCAUCAUAUUUGUACUAUUCUCUUCUGAAUUGCAGAUUGUUUGAAAGUAACUUCUUGAUUUCUUUUCUUAGCUCAUUCUGAUUUUUGUUUUUUUCUUUGUUUCAAUUUUUAUUUUCAGUAUUGGUAACAAUAAAGGGUGUUGUCUUUCGUUUUGUGUGGCUUUUGUUGCAUAGAGAAUUUCUCCUGUGGUUACAAGGACAUAUGACGGGUGAAAAGUUUGGGUAAUUGGCUAAUUGCAAUGAACUUAUGAUUCUUGAACGUAUGGUUGGUAUUAACUUGAGUAGAGAUUUAAUAACCAUUGAACACUUAGUAUACUUUUAGGCAACUAUCGUGGUUAUGGACACAUUCGCGUGACAUGAUUACGAUUUCUAAAAACAAAACCGGAGUAUGCGGUCGCGCAACUUUGGCUAAAACGUUCUUAAUAAUAAUCAAGCAAUAUUAAUUAUGGACACGUUUGCGUGACAUGAUUUUUGACGUGCCAAAUAAAUGGGUAUACGUACGCGUGACCCGUUUCAAGAUACUUUUCUUAAUUAAAAAGCGGUAAAAGGUAAAUGCACAUAGGUUCUAAAAUCAAUAAUCAAACAAUUUAAUAAGCCAAGUAUGAUCAAAGCGACCGUGCUAGAACCACGAAACUCGGGAAUGCCCNNNNNNNNNNNNNNNNNNNNNNNNNAUUGGAAAAACUCCAUUAUACCUUUUCGGGGGUAGUAAAAAAGAGGUGUGAUAGUAAGAAAUACAAUAAUGGUGUGUAACAAUCAUUCCAAGUAACGUGAGUAAUAAUGGAGCAUUAAAUAAAGGAAUGAUUCACCCAAUAAAGGAGAAAAUAAAUGUUAUUCCUCCUGACAAUGAUGAAUGAUAGACAGAUCCUUGAAGGUUCAAAUUAUUCUUGGAUCUGGUAGAAAUUAUGGAAUGAUGUGGACAAGAAUCUUGGUAAAAAGGUGUUGUUUGUAUCUUAUUAAGAGAGAGAGAGAGAGAAAUUUUUUAUCAAAAUGUGUUCUUGCAAAUGAAUAUCCCCCUACAUCAUUGUCUCUCUCCCUCUUUAUAUGAAAUAUAUUCCUAACAAACCCUAAAUAAUACAAGUAUAGAGAAUAUCCACUAGAAUAUUCUCUUUAAAACUUUAUUUUGAAAACUAGCUGUUACAGCUAUGUCAACGGUGCUCGACCUCGGCCAUUGUUGAUGCCUCGACCAUGAAUCUCGAUGCUUACUAGUCGACCUCGACUGAUGAUGGCUUGAAAACUCUUCGUUUGGCAAUAUAAUCUUAAAUACUUUAGGGCAGAUUUUGACCUAUACAGUUUUAAAUUGGGGAUUGAAUUCAUAUUCUCUUAUUUCACUUUGGGUUAGUCGAUUUUGGAGCUCUUAGAGAGGGAUUUUUCACCUAUCAUCGUAAGGUUAGUAAUUACUACCUAAUAUGAGUUUAAUAUAGGGAUUUUGGGUAAUUUUAACAUAUAAAUUGUGAAACUUUAGGAUUUAGUUGAAAAACUCGUCAUAAAUUGUUCACGUCGGUCGACCCUCGGUAGUGUACACAUUAUUCUAUAUCGGUUCAUACGAACUCGUCAUAAAUCGUGCUUGAUAUUGCUCGGUGUCCGAUUAUACUUGAUAUUUUUUCCAUGACUUGAGAUUUAUAAUUACAUGAUGGCUCUUAUUUUCUGAAAUUAGUAAGUGAUAGUUGGAGAUUUUAAUUGAUAUCUAGUUCAAGAACUACUUAUUUAUUGUUCACUAUUGCGUUGUUACUGAUGUAUUCCAUGCCUAUUUAUAGUUUCUGCACUUUAUUUCUUGACCCUUAGUAAGUGUCGAUGUCGACCCUCUCCACUACUUCUUCGAGGUUAGACUAGAUACUUACAAGGUAUAUGUUGUUUGUGUACUCACGCUACACUUCUGCACUAAUCGUGCAGGAUCUAAGGCAGGUGCAUCUGGAGACCAU